GAUGAACGCUGGCGGCGUGCCUAAUACAUGCAAGUCGAGCGGACGGAGGAGAAGCUUGCUUCUCUGAUGUUAGCGGCGGGCGGGAGAGUAACACGUGGAUAACCAACCUAUAAGACUGGGAUAACUUCGGGAAACCGUAGCUAAUACCGGAUAAUAUUUUGAACCGCAUGGUUCAAAAGUGAAAGACGGUCUUGCUGGCACUGAUAGAUGGUUCCGCGCUGCAUUAGCUAGUUGGUAAGGUAACGGCUAACCAAGGCAACGAUCCAUAGCCGACCUCAGAGGUGGUUAGGCCCUGGUGGAAGUGAGUCACGGGCCAGACUCCUACGGGAGGCAGCAGUAGGGAAUUUCGCGCAACGGGAGAAGGCCUGACGCAGCAAUGCGGCGUGGGUGAUGAAGGUAUUGGGAUCUUGAAACUCUGUUCUUAGGGAAGAAGAACUGUGUAAGUAAGUGUACAAAUCUUGACGGUACCUAAUCAGAAAGCAACGGCUAACUACGUG
rnacentral:rRNA from 1 species